rnacentral:misc_RNA from 1 species
GGAUAUAUUGGAUAAGUGCCCCCAACGACCGAACCGGAAAAAAAUAAUACUUUGAAAGAAUAGCAACAACCAUAUCUCGUCAAUGAGAAUAUGACCUUGGUAAUUACCAAGAUAAAAUUAUAGCUGAUUCCGAGAAUUAAACUUUUCGGAGCCACAAACUCGAGUCACAA